CAUCUCCAGCUUCUAGAAUGAAUAAAUUAUUAAUCAUUUCUUUUUUUCUCUCAGUAAGUAGAACUUAUCCAUCAGUGCCAUGAUCUUGAUCUUCUUCUACUAAUUUAUAUAAAAACCAAUCGUGUGCUUCGGAUACUUCGAAGAAAACCAAAUAUUGCCAUCAUGGUUUUCUUUACAUGGUAGAUAGAUAUCUUUUGUGGGCAUGAAGAACUGAACCUAUUCCUGUGAUUCAGUUCGAUCUGCUGCAAAAGAAAGAAAUAUGGGUAUGCCUAAGCAUCUCUUUCUUUUGCUGCUGCUUCUACUGGUUGUUUCUACUUUCCAGAAACCAGGAGUACUUACAGAAGCAAGGCUACUUUCCUCAUCAAUACCUGAUCAACAAAGAUAUUCGAAGAUUUUCUCGACGCUGGGAAUUGUUUGCAAGUGUUGUGAUGGCGAGACGGGUGAAUGCACAAGUACUCGGACGGAAUCUUGUUCCAAGCUCCAAUGCUUUCCCUGGAAACUAACUAGUCGUCACUAACUGUAGUGGUAAUUUUUGUUUUCCUGGGUUGCUAUCUGUACAUGAUUUCACUGAUUGAUAUAUAGAUAUAAAGUACCACGGGGAAUUGAUGCAACUAUAUGUGCCAUUUCAGAUUUCG